rnacentral:rRNA from 1 species
GCUACUUUGCUGACGAGCGGCGGACGGGUGAGUAAUGCUUGGGAACAUGCCUUGAGGUGGGGGACAACAGUUGGAAACGACUGCUAAUACCGCAUAAUGUCUACGGACCAAAGGGGGCUUCGGCUCUCGCCUUUAGAUUGGCCCAAGUGGGAUUAGCUAGUUGGUGAGGUAAUGGCUCACCAAGGCGACGAUCCCUAGCUGGUUUGAGAGGAUGAUCAGCCACACUGGGACUGAGACACGGCCCAGACUCCUACGGGAGGCAGCAGUGGGGAAUAUUGCACAAUGGGCGCAAGCCUGAUGCAGCCAUGCCGCGUGUGUGAAGAAGGCCUUCGGGUUGUAAAGCACUUUCAGUCAGGAGGAAAGGUUAGUAGUUAAUACCUGCUAGCUGUGACGUUACUGACAGAAGAAGCACCGGCUAACUCCGUGCCAGCAGCCGCGGUAAUACGGAGGGUGCGAGCGUUAAUCGGAAUUACUGGGCGUAAAGCGUACGCAGGCGGUUUGUUAAGCGAGAUGUGAAAGCCCCGGGCUCAACCUGGGAACUGCAUUUCGAACUGGCAAACUAGAGUGUGAUAGAGGGUGGUAGAAUUUCAGGUGUAGCGGUGAAAUGCGUAGAGAUCUGAAGGAAUACCGAUGGCGAAGGCAGCCACCUGGGUCAACACUGACGCUCAUGUACGAAAGCGUGGGGAGCAAACGGGAUUAGAUACCCCGGUAGUCCACGCCGUAAACGAUGUCUACUAGAAGCUCGGAGCCUCGGUUCUGUUUUUCAAAGCUAACGCAUUAAGUAGACCGCCUGGGGAGUACGGCCGCAAGGUUAAAACUCAAAUGAAUUGACGGGGGCCCGCACAAGCGGUGGAGCAUGUGGUUUAAUUCGAUGCAACGCGAAGAACCUUACCUACACUUGACAUACAGAGAACUUACCAGAGAUGGUUUGGUGCCUUCGGGAACUCUGAUACAGGUGCUGCAUGGCUGUCGUCAGCUCGUGUUGUGAGAUGUUGGGUUAAGUCCCGCACGAGCGCAACCCCUAUCCUUAGUUGCUAGCAGGUAAUGCUGAGAACUCUAACGAGACUGCCGGUGAUAACCGGGAGGAAGGUGGGGACGACGUCAAGUCAUCAUGGCCCUUAC